CAGGAGUGAGAGAAAUAACCAGUCAGCAGUGAAGGAAAUAACCAAUGAGAAGUGAGCUCAGGGAACCAAUAGAAUUUUAGGGUUAAGUAAGCCGUUUCAGAGGCAAGAAGUGAGAUAGAGCCGCAGGGCCAGGGGACCGGGUGGUGUCGACAGGAGAGUAGUGGCCCUGCUUGGGGGUCCAUGCCGGUCUUUUUACGGGGCUUCCCGACUCAAAUAAACCACCUGAAGAGAGCUUGACUAGUGUUCCCUGAAGGUUGGGGGACGCUGGGGACUGGAGAAAGCUCAGGUGGCCUCUGUCGGGAGAGAGGGUGACCCUCAUUUCAGAGGGGGUGCCCUGAGGCCCAUGUGGGCGAGGACCGCGGAACAGCAGCCCUUCCAGUGCCUGCCCUGGAGAAUUUUCUGGAAGGGGUGAGGCCUUGGCGGGGGAGUUCUGUGUAUAGGAGGGCAGAGGGAAAGCACUGGCCUACCUAGGAGCCUCGGACACCGCCAUGAAUCUGCCCACAAGAAAGACAGCUCAGGCUCAGAGAGCAUCAAGCCAGCUCACCACAGAACCAGCCAGCAUCCUUCUCUCUACCCUGGUGCAUCCCUGGGCUUCCGAGUCUCAAAUCUAUUCUCCAGCUGGGAUCCACUCCACAUGCUAAUCCACACCACUAUGUGAAUAAUGAGAGGUGUGCCUUCAAGGGAUGAAGAGCUCAUUGUGGGCAUAAAGCUUGUCCCCUGGUGCUCGAUGUGGCAGAAACUCAACAGUUAUUUGUGAUUACCAAGUGGCACGGGAAUCCUGAGAGAAUGCUAUUAGCCCCAUUUUAUAGAUGUCCCUGUGGAAACCCAGAGGGGUACGAGGCUUGGCCAGGGUAGAGCUGGGAUUCCAGCCACCAUUUGUGGGAAUCUGAGUCUCAUGCUUUUCCCUCAGCUUGCUCAAAGGCCACAUGGGGGCCCACAGGCCCCUCCCUAGGAACACGAACUGGUGGGCCCCUGGCAUGCUGCCACCCCUCAGGUGAUGUAAAUAUAUUCUGCGGGCACUCACCCUGGCAGGGACCGCAUUGGUGCCGCAGGCAGGGGCUCUGGGUGCAGAGGGUGUGACUUCAUUGGCUUUCAUGAGGUGUCUUUAUGCGGGGAGUCGGAGAUCUGUGGGCUCACUGCAACACUUGACAAACCUGUAAAUAUGUAUUUGGAGUCACUCACUGCCUGGCCUUUGCAUGAAAUCUGCAUUGCAAAAUCAAGUCCAGAGAACAGGGCUUUUUAAUCAGGCCAGCGUGACCCGGACCUGGCUGGCACUGACCCCUCCCGCAGCCUCAGUUCCUUCGGUUGUGCAUGGGAUCAUUGUUCCUGCCCUGCUGACUCUUUAGCAGUGUUAAAGAUCGAGAAGGAGGAUGGAUUUGAGGGUGCUCUGUCAACUGUAAAGUACCGGGGGCCGGUUCCUCAGAAAUGAACAAGGCAUUUAUCCUGUCCUCUCACUGCUAGGGAGCCGAUCAAAGAAAGAGAUGACCUACCACCCAAGGCAAGAAAGGGAACUGUGGGAUGCAGAGGGCAUCAGGGAGGACUUCCUAGAGGAGGGGAAGUUGUAAUGGAUUCUGAGGGACAGACAGAAUGUAGACAGGAAAACUGGGAACAGCAUGAGGUAACAUGUGCAUGUAUUGAUGUGUCGGGGGAAUCCUCUGCAGGAGUUAAGAGCAGAGGCCCUGGGCAGACUAACCUGGGCUUAAGUCUUGGCACCAUCACCUCUUACUCUAUGACUUUGGUAAGUCACUUCACUUCUCUCAACUCUGGUUUAUUUACCUGUAAAGCUGGGUGAAUAAUCCCACCUUAAAAGAUAAAACCAUGUGCAGGGAGAAAGGCCUCAGCACUUUGUCACGUGGUUUGCACCCGAUGAAGGGUCGCUAACAAUGUUGGUCUCGUCCAGAAGGCUAGACUGACCCAGGAGAGGAGGAGCUGGUGUCUGUGGUUGGCAGUAGCCUCCUUGGGUCACUGGUAAACUCUGUGUUGAGUCCCAGAAAGAUCAUUGCCUUUGGAAUCAGAGGGUUCUGAGUUUGGGUCUCAGCUCUGCCACUUUCCACCUGUGCAAUGUUGUUCUGAAACCUCCCAGAGCCUGUGUUCUCUCAUCUGUAAAUAGAGGUGUGUUAGCAUCUUGGUUGGAAGGACUGGAUGCUCCCAUGUCAUCUUGAGAAGAGGAGGUUUAUUGUGAAGAUAUGCAUAGGACUGGGAGGGCAUCGGGAUUUGAAGAAGCUCCAGGGAUGAGCCCCUGGGGCCCGCAUGUCAUAGGUGGACUCUUCAUGGCCUCGUGCCUGCGUGGACCACUCAGUGGCAAAGGAUAGGGUAUGACUGAGGCGAAAUGACUGUUGGAAAGAAAUAAAAUCAGUUUCUGUCAUACACUAAAAUAAAUCCAGAUGCUAAUAAGAUUUAAAUGUAAACGAAUAAAUAAGAAGAAAUGUAUAAUCAUUUGAUUUUUGUUGUAAGAUCUUUCUAAACAUAUGUGCAAAGACAAAAACCAUGAAAAAGAAAAGAUAGAUAUAUUUAACUGAAUAAAACUUUACAAAUCCUGUAAGCAAGAAUACCAAAACAAAUCUGAAAAAUCUAACAGUAAAAUGGCCACAAUGUUUGUAAUAUACAUGACAAAGAGCAAAAAGCCCUUGCAAAUCAAUAAGAAUGAAGACGAAAGGGUAAAGGAUAUGAAAAAACAAUCCAGGAUACACAAGUGGCCAAUAAAUGUAUGAAAAUAUUCACCUUUGCUAAUAAUGAAAUAAAUUCAAGUUAAAUAGCCAUUUUUUCUCCCACCAGUAGUCCCCAAUGGAAAUGGGAGCUUUCAGGCUGAGAACAAAUCCCUACUCUGUGUACACCAGUUCUGGGGAUAAAUGAAAGACGACGCAUGGUGGGAGGGUAUAGCUCAGCAGUAGAGCGCAAACCUAGCAGGCACAAGGUCCUGGGUUCAAUCUGCAGUACUUCCAUUAAAAUAAAAAUUAAAUAAAUGUAUCAAUAAAUACACCUAGUUACCUGCCCCCGCAACAAAAAAAUAACUGGAUAUCCACAUGCAAAACACUGAAGCCGUAGCCCUAGCGUGCACAAAAAUGAAACAAAAAAAAGAAAGACGAUUCAUCAAACGUCUUAAAACCACACCUGCCCCCUUUUAGCCAGCGAUUCUAUUACUGCAACAUUGUCCUGAGGAAAAAAUCAGAGGUAUGCAAGGAUUCGGCAACGAGAAUAUAUGUGAGAGUGUACCUUUUUAUGACAAAACGAGUGAAAGCAACCUGAAUGUCUAAGAAUAGGUAAUUGGCAGCGUAAAUUAUGGGAUAUCUGCAAGACGGAAUAAAUCCUCAACUGUCAUUAAAAUUGACAGUGUAAAUCUAGUCUUAAUAACAAGGAAGUAUGUUCUAAUUUUAUUAUUUAGUUGAAUAAAACAUAUUACAAAAUGGUA